UACGAAGGGGGCUAGCGUUGCUCGGAAUCACUGGGCGUAAAGGGUGCGUAGGCGGGUUUUUAAGUCAGAGGUGAAAUCCUGGAGCUCAACUCCAGAACUGCCUUUGAUACUGAAAGUCUUGAGUAUGGGAGAGGUGAGUGGAACUGCGAGUGUAGAGGUGAAAUUCGUAGAUAUUCGCAAGAACACCAGUGGCGAAGGCGGCUCACUGGCCCAUAACGUGACGCUGAGGCACGAAAGCGUGGGGAGCAAACAGG
rnacentral:rRNA from 1 species